UUACUAUUCUUCUUCUUCUUCUCCAAGAAAAAAAACUAUUUUCAAUCUUCUUCUACAAAAGUUGACAGAUCUAGAAAAAAACCCUCUGACCUCAAGGUUGUCUCCUUUUUCUUUUGUGUCUCCUGUUUGUGUCGCCAUAUCCAGAUGAAGGUAGGUUAUAAUAACUCAACUUUUGUUUUCGAGUUCUCCUUCUCGGUCUUCAUAAAAGACUAGAGGAUUUCAGACCCAAAUGGCUAAAUGGAUCGAAGUUUGUUGCUGUAUCAUAACAAAAUCAAGUUAUUAAUGGAUGAGUACAAUGGCAGAAGGCAAUUUUAUAGAACCAAAACAAAACCUUUUGGCCUCAAGGUGUUGGUUGAUUUCAAGGAAAAUCCCAAGGCUGCACAGGAACAUACGAAAAAUCCUAUGAUGAUGAACAAGAUCCAAAAGGUGGUUAAUGUUGGAAUUGUCCAGAUGAGGAGGAGUGUGUUUCUUUAGUUAACAGUAAAAGGCAACAAGUCACUUGAGUUGAAGAUUCAAAAUCAGGUGCUCUAAAAAAUGUCUCUGACGAGCAUGAAUUGUUGUGGUGGGAGCAUACCAACAUGACUGUUAGAGUAAACUAUAGAGGAUAUAACUUAUGCUAAAAGUUUUAAAUGAUAAUUAAUGGCAAGAUUUGUUAAGAUCCUAUGAGAUCUUAUUUUAUUGUAAUAAUGAUUACAAUAUUAGUAGCAGAACACAUGAUUAGUUUAUGUCAAUUAAGAUUCA